GAUGAACGCUGGCGGCGUGCCUAAUACAUGCAAGUAGAACGCUGAAGCUUGGUGCUUGCACCGAGCGGAUGAGUUGCGAACGGGUGAGUAACGCGUAGGUAACCUGCCUCUUAGUGGGGGAUAACUAUUGGAAACGAUAGCUAAUACCGCAUAAAAGACGAUAUCGCAUGAUAUUGAUUUGAAAGAUGCAAUUGCAUCACUAAGAGAUGGACCUGCGUUGUAUUAGCUAGUUGGUGAGGUAACGGCUCACCAAGGCGACGAUACAUAGCCGACCUGAGAGGGUGAUCGGCCACACUGGGACUGAGACACGGCCCAGACUCCUACGGGAGGCAGCAGUAGGGAAUCUUCGGCAAUGGGGGCAACCCUGACCGAGCAACGCCGCGUGAGUGAAGAAGGUUUUCGGAUCGUAAAGCUCUGUUGUAAGAGAAGAACGAGUGUGAGAGUGGAAAGUUCACACUGUGACGGUAACUUACCAGAAAGG
rnacentral:rRNA from 1 species